CGACCAAAUCACAUUGACACACCAGUUCCCGUACGAACACCGAAGUUGAGCAACGUCGAGCCUGGUCAGUACCUAGAUGGGUAACCGUUUGGGAAUACCAGGU